rnacentral:rRNA from 1 species
GGGCACCACCGGCGGACGGCUCAGUAACACGUCGGUAACCUACCCUCGGGAGGGGGAUAACCCCGGGAAACUGGGGCUAAUUCCCCAUAGGCCUGAGGUACUGGAAGGUCCUCAGGCCGAAAGGGACUUAUGUCCGCCCGAGGAUGGGCCGGCGGCCGAUUAGGUAGUUGGUGGGGUAAUGGCCCACCAAGCCGAAGAUCGGUACGGGCUGUGAGAGCAGGAGCCCGGAGAUGGACACUGAGACACGGGUCCAGGCCCUACGGGGCGCAGCAGGCGCGAAACCUCCGCAAUGCGGGAAACCGCGACGGGGGGACCCCGAGUGCCGUGGCAACGCCACGGCUUUUCCGGAGUGUAAAAAGCUCCGGGAAUAAGGGCUGGGCAAGGCCGGUGGCAGCCGCCGCGGUAAUACCGGCGGCCCGAGUGGUGGCCGCUAUUAUUGGGCCUAAAGCGUCCGUAGCCGGGCCCGUAAGUCCCUGGCGAAAUCCCACGGCUCAACCGUGGGGCUUGCUGGGGAUACUGCGGGUCUUGGGACCGGGAGAGGCGGGGGGUACCCCUGGGGUAGGGGUGAAAUCCUAUAAUCCCAGGGGGACCGCCAGUGGCGAAGGCGCCCCGCUGGAACGGGUCCGACGGUGAGGGACGAAGGCCAGGGGAGCAAACCGGAUUAGAUACCCGGGUAGUCCUGGCUGUAAAGGAUGCGGGCUAGGUGUCGGGUGAGCCUCGAGCUCGCCCGGUGCCGUAGGGAAGCCGUUAAGCCCGCCGCCUGGGGAGUACGGCCGCAAGGCUGAAACUUAAAGGAAUUGG